UGGGGAAUUUUGGACAAUGGGCGCAAGCCUGAUCCAGCAAUGCCGCGUGCAGGAAGAAGGCCUUCGGGUUGUAAACUGCUUUUGUACGGAACGAAACGGUCUGGGUUAAUACCCUGGACUAAUGACGGUACCGUAAGAAUAAGCACCGGCUAACUACGUGCCAGCAGCCGCGGUAAUACGUAGGGUGCAAGCGUUAAUCGGAAUUACUGGGCGUAAAGCGUGCGCAGGCGGUUUUGUAAGACAGGCGUGAAAUCCCCGGGCUCAACCUGGGAAUUGCGCUUGUGACUGCAAGGCUGGAGUGCGGCAGAGGGGGAUGGAAUUCCGCGUGUAGCAGUGAAAUGCGUAGAUAUGCGGAGGAACACCGAUGGCGAAGGCAAUCCCCUGGGCCUGCACUGACGCUCAUGCACGAAAGCGUGGGGAGCAAACAGG
rnacentral:rRNA from 2 species